GGGUGAAGGAACUAGGCAAAAUGGUACCGUAACUUCGGGAGAAGGUACGCUCUUGAUGGUGAAGUCCCUUGCGGAUGGAGCUGACGAGAGUCGCAGAUACCAGGUGGCUGCAACUGUUUAUUAAAAACACAGCACUGUGCAAAAUCGUAAGAUGACGUAUACGGUGUGACGCCUGCCCGGUGCCGGAAGGUUAAUUGAUGGGGUUAGACUUCGGUCGAAGCUCUUGAUCGAAGCCCCGGUAAACGGCGGCCGUAACUAUAACGGUCCUAAGGUAGCGAAAUUCCUUGUCGGGUAAGUUCCGACCUGCACGAAUGGCGUAAUGAUGGCCACGCUGUCUCCACCCGAGACUCAGUGAAAUUGAAAUCGCUGUGAAGAUGCAGUGUACCCGCGGCUAGACGGAAAGACCCCGUGAACCUUUACUACAGCUUGGCACUGAACAUUGACCCUACAUGUGUAGGAUAGGUGGGAGGCUUUGAAGCAGGUACGCCAGUAUCUGUGGAGCCGUCCUUGAAAUACCACCCUUGUAGUGUUGAUGUUCUAACGUUGACCCCUUAUCGGGGUUGCGGACAGUGCCUGGUGGGUAGUUUGACUGGGGCGGUCUCCUCCCAAAGAGUAACGGAGGAGCACGAAGGUGGGCUAAUCACGGUUGGACAUCGUGAGGUUAGUGCAAUGGCAUAAGCCCGCUUGACUGCGAGAAUGACAAUUCGAGCAGGUGCGAAAGCAGGUCAUAGUGAUCCGGUGGUUCUGAAUGGAAGGGCCAUCGCUCAACGGAUAAAAGGUACUCCGGGGAUAACAGGCUGAUACCGCCCAAGAGUUCAUAUCGACGGCGGUGUUUGGCACCUCGAUGUCGGCUCAUCACAUCCUGGGGCUGAAGUCGGUCCCAAGGGUAUGGCUGUUCGCCAUUUAAAGUGGUACGCGAGCUGGGUUUAGAACGUCGUGAGACAGUUCGGUCCCUAUCUGCCGUGGGCGUUGGAAGAUUGAAGGGGGCUGCUCCUAGUACGAGAGGACCGGAGUGGACGAACCUCUGGUGUUCGGGUUGUGUCGCCAGACGCAUUGCCCGGUAGCUAAGUUCGGAAUCGAUAACCGCUGAAAGCAUCUAAGCGGGAAGCGAGCCCUGAGAUGAGUCUUCCCUGAUACUUUAAGUAUCCUAAAGGGUUGUCGGAGACUACGACGUUGAUAGGUCAGGUGUGUAAGUGCUGUGAGGCAUUGAGCUAACUGAUACUAAUUGCCCGUGAGGCUUAACCAUACAACACCCAAGGGGUUU
rnacentral:rRNA from 1 species